GACGAACGCUGGCGGCGUGCUUAACACAUGCAAGUCGAACGGAAAGGCCCUGCUUGCCGGGUACUCGAGUGGCGAACGGGUGAGUAACACGUGGGUGAUCUGCCCUGCACUUCGGGAUAAGCCUGGGAAACUGGGUCUAAUACCGGAUAGGAGCCAUUUUUAGUGUGAUGGUUGGAAAGUUUUUUCGGUGUAGGAUGAGCUCGCGGCCUAUCAGCUUGUUGGUGGGGUAAUGGCCUACCAAGGCGGCGACGGGUAGCCGGCCUGAGAGGGUGGACGGCCACAUUGGGACUGAGAUACGGCCCAGACUCCGACGGGAGGCAGAGGUGGGGAAUAUUGCACAAUGGGCGCAAGCCUGAUGCAGCGACGCCGCGUGGGGGAUGACGGCCUUCGGGUUGUAAACUCCUUUCGCUAGGGACGAAGCUUUUUGUGACGGUACCUAGAUAAGAAGCACCGGCUAACUACGUG
rnacentral:rRNA from 1 species